UUUUAAGUUAUACACAGGAUUAUAUCAUGUUAGAAUUCUGACCUUAUUAUCUUUAUUUGGAAACUAGGGUUUGGUAUGGUGAAGAGAUGUCUAAGUGCCAAGUUGACAAGGGGUAGACUUGUGAUGUUAAUUUUAUGUGUCACCUUGACUGAGCUAAAGGGUGACCAGAUAGCUAACAAAACAUGUUUCCUAGGUAUAUCUGUGAAGGUGUCUAGAAGAGAUCAGCAAUCUAACUGAACUGAGUAAAGCAGAAGGGCCCUUCGCAACGUUGGUGCGCAUCAUCUAAUCCAUUGAAAGUCUGAACAGAAAAAGCCAGAGGGAGAGCAAAUUCGCUCUCUGCUUGAGUUGAUGUCCAUUUUCUCCUGCCUUCAGACAUCAGACAUUGGUAUUCCCAGUUCUCUGGACCCAUUGAACUCACAACUCACAAGCCGUUAGAUUCAGGCUGAAUUACACCACCAGCUUUCCUAGUUUUCCAGCUUGCCGAUGGCAGAUCAUGGCACAACAAGGUCUCCAUAACCAUGAGCCAUAGUGAUAUUACUGAACCUAUGAACAUCAGGACACACAAAUCUGCAGAAAGAUGAUAACUUAUUUCACAAGUUAAUUGUUCUUUUAAGGGAAUACUUAAAAACCUCUACCUGAAGUCCACAUGGACAGCUGAAGAAAGUACUUCCACAUAACAUUCUGUGAAGCAUGACUUCUCAUUCAUCUUCAGGGAUUGCUUCUAUCAGAUUCUUCAAGAUAAUUUUGUUCCUAUUUAACUCAAGGUUUUCUUGUACUUGCAUAAACAUUAAGUAAUAACUAUUAAUAUAUUGUCUCUAUGAACAAGUAAAAUUUUGCAAAUAGUUAAACAUCAGUGUGAUGUUACAAA